AGUCACUGACAUUAGACUACCCCCGUAGUCCAGGGUGUAAACGCUGCAGACUUGGUGUUGGAAGUCCUUUGGGGGCAUUCAGUGCCGGAGAGAAGUUGUUAAGUCUGCUACUUGGGAGUACGUCCGCAAGGAUGAAACUUAAAGGAAUUGGCGGGGGAGCACCACAACGGGAGGAGCGUGCGGUUUAAUUGGAUUCAACACCGUAAAACUCACCAGGGAAGACUGUUACAUGAAGGCCGAGAUGAAGACUCUGCUAGAUUUUCAG
rnacentral:rRNA from 1 species